rnacentral:rRNA from 1 species
AGCCUGAACGCUGGCGGCGUGGCUAAGACAUGCAAGUCGCACGGAGGUAGCAAUACCUUAGUGGCGAACGGGUGAGUAAUGUAUCGCUAACGUACCCUUUAGUCCGGGAUAGCCAGGGGAAACCCUGGGUAAUACCGGGAAAUAUCUUCUUUUCGCAUGGAGAGAAGCUCAAAGGAGCAAUCCGCUGAAGGAGCGGGCGAUAUCGUAUCAGCUAGUUGGUGAGGUAACGGCUCACCAAGGCGACGACGCGUAGCCGGACUGAGAGGUCGGUCGGCCACAUUGGGACUGAGACACUGCCCAGACUCCUACGGGGGGCUGCAGUAACGAAUCUUCCGCAAUGCACGCAAGUGUGACGGAGCGACGCCGCGUGUGGGACGAAGUCCUUCGGGAUGUAAACCACUGUCAGGGGUUACCAAGUUCUGAGGAGCCCAGAGGAAGGCACGGCUAACUACGCGCCAGCAGCCGC